AGUGGAGUUUGUACUGCCAAGCUAGAAAAUAGCAAAAAAGCAAAAUAAAAGUCUCAAAUGUCAUUCAUUUACAACUUGAGACUUUAGGUGUGUUGUGCCUAAUUUGACAUCAAUGAUGUGAAAUAUCAUUGAACAUAUGUGACCAUAAAUGAUAUUUGAAAGCUGUGAGAGGGGAGAAACAUAUGUGAACAACUUUUAUUCGGAAUGUAGCGCUGGAGUUAUAGGACUAAUUUUAUUAUAUUUUACGGUGUUUUUUUGGGCCUUCUGAAGCGUACUGGUAACCAUCCACUAGCUAUCCACAUUACAUGAAAAACACAUGAUGUUUCUCUUGUAUUUAACUGAAUAAAAUAGCCUACCAAUGUGUGGUUAGAAAAUGACGUGAAACAGAGUACAGUAAUUCAUGUUUAAAUUCUGAACUGAAUCAAUGUCAAUUGAAGCAUUUGACUUUAACUGGAAAUGACAGCAGCGUCUCCAUCUUCCCCGCUCUCCUCUCUUUAUUGCUGCACCUGUGCUUCAAUGGUGCUCUUCAAAACUCUAGAAGUGUUUCCAUCCAUACUGACUGACUGUUUGUGAGGAGAAAGUAUCAUUUUGCAAAUGUCUCUGUGUUCACACACAACUCCUGUUCUGUAAAAGUGCCAUAAUACACUCAUACACAGAAGAUAUCCGCUUUCCUGAGGCCACUGCAGGCUUCAUGUCACUCCACGGGCUCUUGGAAGAUCUCGCACAGAUAAAGUUGCUGGAACCCAUUAGAGCAUCUGUGGAUUUACAGGGCUGGAGAAACGUUCUUGCCCUCAAGACGUCCAAAAACAACAACCGCGUAGUCUGGCAGCGGUGCAGGCAGCGGGCGUUUCCCUGUCCCGCGUGAGUAGCUGCGUGCGAGUGUCUGCCGGGUAAAUUCAGGCUCCAGCCGAGGGUUGAAUACGGAAUGGAAAGCCACCUGUCCCAAUAAAGGUGUUGCGAGUUACUUGGAAUCAUCUAAACUGUAAACUUAAAGGAGAGGUCAUGAGAGGACCAAACCGAGAUUUACACUGCCUCAGUGGAACCCCUGGAAAAACAAGAUGCUUCAGUUCAUAAUGAUAAACUAUUGACUCCUCAAGAAGCAAAAUUUUAAACUGUAUCCUAAAUUGUACUGCCAUCCUAAAAAGAUAACAAUAGAGUAACAUGAUCUGUUUUCCCAGCAUUCAUUAACCUUGCAGCAUUUUGUACUAGUUGCAAGCGAGCAACAUAUGUUUGGCAGGUCCCAACAUAAAGAGCACUACAAUAAUCUAGACGGGGAAAAAUAUAGGCAUGGAUAACUUUUUCCAGGUAGCUAUAGCUGACAGAAUUGGUUUCAGUAUGCCUAUUGCCCUUAAAUAAAAGAAACCAUUAUGAAC